GAUAUGGAUGAUGAAGAAGGAGAGGCAGAA
rnacentral:piRNA from 1 species